rnacentral:rRNA from 1 species
UACAGGGGGUGCAAACGUUGCUCGGAAUCAUUGGGCGUAAAGCGCACGUAGGCGGUUCGUUAUGUCGGAUGUGAAAGCCCUUGGCUUAACCGAGGAAGUGCAUCCGAAACUGGCGAGCUAGAGUACGAAAGAGGAUCGCGGAAUUCCCGGUGUAGAGGUGAAAUUCGUAGAUAUCGGGAGGAACACCGGUGGCGAAGGCGGGUCUCUGGGCCGAUACUGACGCUGAGGAGCGAAAGCGUGGGGAGCGAACAGG